GGCCGCCUGGCGAAAUGGCAUCGCGUCUGACUACGAUUGCGCGUAAUUGAAAAUCAGGAGAUUGUAGGUUCGACCCCUACGGUGGUCA